CAAAGUCACAGGUUACCUCAGGAAGAGUCAGAAUAGUAAGUUCAAGGUAGUAAAAAAACAGAAUAUACAAGUAGUAAAGGUAGCAUUAGUCAAAGUGUGUGUUUCUAUUAAAUGUUUUACUGAAGUUAAUUUGUUAUCAACCCGUGAAUAUAUAAGGAUUUUUCUAUAGAUUUUUUUAAGGUAAACACUGUUCAAAUGAAGUUUCGAAUCAAAGAGUACAUUCAACAAUAACUACCGAUAUAUGGAGAAAACAAUUAGCCAAAAAAACUUAAAUAUUGUAGGAAAUGAAAUUGCAUUUAUUUCUUGCAUAACGUAAAGUUGAAUCAAGCUGAUUUGUUAAACCAACAAGCAAAAGGAGUAGCAGUGAAUUUUAAAUUCCCCUUGAACGAAGGAUUGAUCUCACAGCAUUCAGCUGAAAGGAACCCCAUUCCAAGACAUCGUUGCGUAAGUCAUUUAAGGCUUUUGCAUGUUGAAUGCGAUGUUGAACAAAGUUAUAAGUCGCCUCAAAAUUAGGAGAAGUAUCACGACUCAUAAAUAACUCAGAUGCAGAGUAAAUGGCAGAGAUAGCAGCACGUUUCGUGUACCAUUGAAAAUCGGCUGACUUAUCUUGCGCGAGGUAAAGAAUCUCAUCUGACAGUUCAGCCAGAGAGGAUAAUGAUUUUCGCAAGUUUGAAGGGUAUGUACAAAUUGCAAUCAUCUGCGGAAGAUGCUGAACAAUAUCCCUAUUUCCUUGCAGACGAGACCAAAUAAGCUGGACAACACGUCCAGAUGUUUCGGGGAUAGUGGUCAAAUGAGGCUUUAAUGAACUAAGAGCGUAGCGCUGCUUCAGGAAAAAGUACGAAAUCAAAUCCAUUGGACCAGAAGGAAAGAGGGCCUUGGAGAGAUUACUAUAGCCAAGGGCCUGACCACCUUGCACGAUUGCAUCUUCCGUGAACCCCAGUUGAGGAACAUGUUCAAGAGCAUUUUCUAAAAUUAAAGCCUUCUUUCCGGAUAUCUUAGAGGUUUCGUAAUUUUCACUAUGAUAGCCUCUCCUUCCUAGAGCGGAAAUGACCGUUUUGGAGAUGCAUUUAUGAAGUCCCAGGUUUUUUGUUGUCAACUGACAAGCACUUCUUAAAGUCAACAUGUAAAGAAAUAAAAAAAAGAGUCAGAAAAAUAAACAAAAUAGAAAGAAAGGGUCUUUCACUAAGCAAUUCGAAGGAAAGAGAUAUGGGUAAAGAGGUGUUACGAGUUAUUCAAAUCAGCGAGUUAGAU